CACCGACAUCAGCGAUUCGUUUUGCGAACCCUGACCCACGGCGAGAUAGGCGUUCAUGCCCAGCUCUUUCAUCUGCUGUUCGCCGAUGACGCGCGUGGUGAUGUUGGAGCUGAAUGCGUCGGCCAACUGGCGCGCCUGUGAGGCGAGGUAAGCCGCAUUACAGAUGUUAGGCGGCAUGUUGCCCAAAUCUUUCGC
rnacentral:antisense_RNA from 1 species